rnacentral:rRNA from 1 species
UACGUAGGGUCCGAGCGUUGUCCGGAUUUAUUGGGCGUAAAGAGCUCGUAGGCGGCUUGCUAAGUCAGGUGUGAAACCUCCAGGCUCAACCUGGAGCCGCCACCUGAUACUGGUAUGGCUAGAGUCCGGAAGAGGCGAGUGGAAUUCCUGGUGUAGCGGUGGAAUGCGCAGAUAUCAGGAGGAACACCAAUAGCGAAGGCAGCUCGCUGGGACGGUACUGACGCUAAGGCGCGAAAGCGUGGGGAGCGAACAGG